GACGAACGCUGGCGGCGUGCUUAACACAUUCAAGUCGAACGGAAAGGCCCUGCUUUUGUGGGGUGCUCGAGUGGCGAAAGGGUUAGUAACACGUUAGUAACCUGCCCUUUACUUUGGGAUAACUUCAGGAAACUGGGGCUAAUACCGGAUAGGAGCUCCUUCUGCAUGGUGGGGGUUGGAAAGUUUCGGCGGUUGGGGAUGGACUCGCGGCUUAUCAGCUUGUUGGUGGGGUAGUGGCUUACCAAGGCUUUGACGGGUAGCCGGCCUGAGAGGGUGACCGGCCACAUUGGGACUGAGAUACGGCCCAGACUCCUACGGGAGGCAGCAGUGGGGAAUAUUGCACAAUGGGCGGAAGCCUGAUGCAGCAACGCCGCGUGCGGGAUGACGGCCUUCGGGUUGUAAACCGCUUUCGCCUGUGACGAAGCGUGAGUGACGGUAAUGGGUAAAGAAGCACCGGCUAACUACGUG
rnacentral:rRNA from 1 species